GAUGAACGCUGGCGGCGUGCUUAACACAUGCAAGUCGAACGAAGCAUUUAGGACAGAUUACUUCGGUUUGAAGUUCUUUAUGACUGAGUGGCGGACGGGUGAGUAACGCGUGGGUAACCUGCCUUGUACUGGGGGAUAGCAUCUGGAAACGGCUGGUAAUACCGCAUAAGCGCACAAUGUUGCAUGACAUGGUGUGAAAAACUCCGGUGGUAUAAGAUGGACCCGCGUCUGAUUAGCUAGUUGGUGAGAUAACAGCCCACCAAGGCGACGAUCAGUAGCCGACCUGAGAGGGUGACCGGCCACAUUGGGACUGAGACACGGCCCAGACUCCUACGGGAGUCAGCAGUGGGGAAUAUUGCACAAUGGAGGAAACUCUGAUGCAGCGACGCCGCGUGAGUGAAGAAGUAAUUCGUUAUGUAAAGCUCUAUCAGCAGGGAAGAUAGUGACGGUACCUGACUAAGAAGCUCCGGCUAAAUACGUG
rnacentral:rRNA from 1 species